CUGGCGGAAUGCUUUACACAUGCAAGUCGAACGGCAGCAUAGAGAGCUUGCUCUCUGAUGGCGAGUGGCGAACGGGUGAGUAAUAUAUCGGAACGUGCCUAGUAAUGGGGAAUAACUAGCUGAAAGGUUAGCUAAUGCCACAUACGACCUACGGGUGAAAGCAGGGGAUCUUCGGACCUUGCGUUAUUAGAGCGGCCGAUAUCUGAUUAGCUUGUUGGUGGGGUAAUGGCCUACCAAGGCGACGAUCAGUAGCUGGUCUGAGAGGACGAUCAGCCACACUGGAACUGAGACACGGUCCAGACUCCUACGGGAGGCAGCAGUGGGGAAUUUUGGACAAUGGGGGCAACCCUGAUCCAGCCAUUCCGCGUGAGUGAAGAAGGCCUUCGGGUUGUAAAGCUCUUUCGCAAGAGAAGAAAACUUGCUAUCUAAUAAAUAGUAAGUAUGACGGUAUCUUGACAAGAAGCACCGGCUAA
rnacentral:rRNA from 1 species